GCCGCGGUAGCUCAGUUGAUAGAGCAUCGCAUCCGUAAUGCGAAGACGUGGGAUCAUUCCCCACUUGCGGCA